UGCACAACACCAUAUUAUGGGCACUGAGUCCCUGACCGACGGUACAUGGGCACUGAGUCCCUGACCGACGGUACCAAUCAGUUUCAGCACAUCUUGGAUGCACCCUCCAACUACUGAGUAGUUACUUCUUAGUAAGGUUCCUUGCCACUCAUGUCGACUGUCGUGAAUCAAGCUAGACCCACACUGUCACCAGGUCACACUCACACAAAUCUUUCCUACAACCAGCACAAAGCUACAUCUCCAUCAUCCAUCCAUAUCUCAUCAUUGCCAUCAUUCAUCAAUCAGCAGAGACAGUCAACUCAUAAUCCGUAGACAUCAUCGAUUCAUGACUGCCGCCUGCCGGUCCGUGCCGGACGUGCCGGUGUCAUGUAGAUCUACAUGACAUGACUGUAACGUAGCUACAUAGAGUCAGAUGACUCAGAUCUAGGUACAGUAGAUCUACCAUUAUGAUACCGUGCGCACUGCGCAGCACAUGGUUGAAGAACGACAUGAGUCACACUCACCGGACACAGUCUUGCUUGCGGGCCGUGGCCGUGGCCGAGAUCCAGCCUGCAGGCUGCACUCAGCUGGAGGCCGGAUUAGUUGGCGGGUGCAUUUGGCCCGUGGCGUUGGAGCUUUGCGCUACCCGUGAUCAGUGAUGGCGGACCGUUCUUGGAUGGAUCCUGGACUGGAGGGGAGGCUAGGCGAUGUAGUUCAGCUUCCAACUCUACUGGCUAUGUCACUGCUGGUGGCAAACAGCAAUGGUGAGCACUGGUGAUCCGCCGUAGCUAAAGCUGCGUUCGUUUGGGACAUGUGGGUGCCUCCAAUCAUUUGACUGAGUCAUAAAUUCACUCCUUCAAAGUCACCUGUUCAGGUGAGCUUCACUGUAUCAGUAGGUUGUACAGUACAGUGUAGUGAGCAGUUGGUGCUCUCCGUUUAGGCUUGCCGGGAUGAUGACCUUCCAACUGUUUUAGUUUUCUCCCUUGUUGUGUGCUUGUGCGUUACCUGGCUCUAGUUCUAAAGGAAAGACACGUAUGGUAGUGCCUGUAGUACGGUUCUGUUCUUUCCGGCCAUUCAUAGCCCCUCUCCUGCAGGGUACUAACAGUAGUACUUUUUUCUAUCCAGCUGGUUCAGCUGAGCAAGGACCAGCUCACAGAUUACAGCAUAGAAGGAGGGAGUCCACAAAGGGAGUGAGAAUCAGCUGGCUGACUUUGCAUCCCUGGGCCACGGCCAAGUCAAAACGCAAGAUGGAGACAGCCUACAGGCCAGUUUGGUGGUUCGCCUGACGCAUGCCAAGGACUUGGGAGUAUCUACUGCUUUGCUAAUGCCACGUGAUGUGCAAGUGAUGCGUCUGCCGAAGAAAAUGUCUCAGCCCGUAGACCCAUGAUUAUCCCAACUCAGUUACCCAUCGCCAACGCACUGCCCGCCUGCCUGGGAAACUGGAAACACCCAGUGGAUGUGAUCACAUGCUGCAUUGCACGUUGCCUAACCCGCGGCAACGGCCAUAUCAUCAACGCACAUACCGUUUACUUACUGCGACCGUGCCCCAAGCAAAGUAAGUCCACAGAUGUGCUUGCUUUGCUGUAGACAACCAGCCAACCAGCCAACCUUCUAAGUUCUAUUACCAGACGCCUUUCUCCAGAUCUAUGGACGUUGAGUUUGAGUUCCUCUGAUCGAGUGUAGUACCGCCAAGCCAUGAAGCAACGAAUCAGCCACUGUGCUCUGUACCAUUCAUACAGUGUCAUCAGCACUUUGUCAGGUGUGUAGCUGCUGCUUCUGCUCCUGUCUGGAUGACACUUGGCAGCAUGUUUUCUGGGGCCUUGGGCCCUGAGGGAGCUGACAGAUGACAUCCAGUGUCUCUUCAAGCUCCUCUGCUGGAAUUGAGCUGUAAGGUUCCCAGGGGUCUUGCUGACAUUCACUUGGCAGUUAGGACAUGUCAAGCUGCAGCAGAUACUGUCAUAUUCGCGCUUGAAUCUUGCCACACCCCCAGCGAUGCCGGCCUAGCGCCUGCAGCUCUGCCCUCACUGGUGUCAGAGCUGGUCUUCAAUUUUCAUUCUCACUUCACUGUGCUGGUGAGUGGCUGUACUGUACCAUUGCUAAUUCCUCUGCCUGCGAGGGAUUAAUCGUUGCACUAUCACUGAGAACGUAUUAUCACUAGGGGUGACACGAAGGUCUCAAUUUGCCAAACAAUCCUUCUUCAUCACAGCAGACAUUCUUUCGUUAAAUAAAUUCACACCGCAUGGCCAGAUGUGCUUUGAGUCAACAGGUGGGCACCAUACAUAUGCGUACUAUUUGAAGCGGUCUUUCCCAAUGACUGGUGCUUUGAAGUGAUACAUUUCUUAGGAGGGCCAAAGUCAUAAGGGUAUGUUUGAUUUUCUCUUUGCAUACGGCCUUGUGCUCGGCUCUCUUGGCACAGCCGUAUCGCUUUCGAACGUAAACAAAUCCAUACUCUUUCUUCUCUUUCCAUUCUGCUAGUGAUGCAGUAACGGAAUGUGUACUUCAAAAACGGACCGUGGCUCUCUCAAAAACUACAAAUCAAUUAUCGACACAUCCACAUUCCAUGCUGUGGGCGUGUUGUAUGUGUGUGCCGGUGACGUGUGCGUGUGUGUGUGUGUGUGUGCCGGUGUGUGCCGGUGUGUGUGUAUGUGUAUGUGUGCGUGCGUGUGUGUGCGUGUUGUAUGUGUGUGUAUGUGUGUGUCGGUGUGUGUGCG